ncrna:Nicotiana tabacum cultivar TN90 Ntab-TN90_scaffold1609, whole genome shotgun sequence
GGUCCGAUGCCACGUCGACGGUAGCAAAAAUAAGCAAUGACCGACGAUGCUAUGAUUGGACCAAUAACAAGUUCGCAUUUUGAUAGGAAUCUGUGGAUGGAUUUUUCAUUCCUCACACGGAGCCGUUUUGUGCGAUUACAUGC